rnacentral:rRNA from 1 species
UACGAAGGGGGCUAGCGUUGUUCGGAAUUACUGGGCGUAAAGCGUGCGCAGACGGUUGCGUAAGUCAGAUGUGAAAGCCCCGGGCUCAACCUGGGAAUGGCAAUGGAUACUGGCAGGCUAGAGUGCGGUAGAGGGUAGUGGAAUUCCCGGUGUAGCGGUGAAAUGCGUAGAGAUCGGGAGGAACACCAGUGGCGAAGGCGGCUACCUGGACCAGCACUGACACUGAGGCACGAAAGCGUGGGGAGCAAACAGG